rnacentral:rRNA from 1 species
AACAGGAUUAGAUACCCUGGUAGUCCACGCCGUAAACGAUGUCGACUUGGAGGUUGUGCCCUUGAGGCGUGGCUUCCGGAGCUAACGCGUUAAGUCGACCGCCUGGGGAGUACGGCCGCAAGGUCAACACUCAAAUGAAUUGACGGGGGCCCGCGCAAGCGGUGGAGCAUGUGGUUUAAUUCGAUGCAACGCGAAGAACCUUACCUACUCUUGACAUCCAGAGAACUUAGCAGAGAUGCUUUGGUGCCUUCGGGAACUCUGAGACAGGUGCUGCAUGGCUGUCGUCAGCUCGUGUUGUGAAAUGUUGGGUUAAGUCCCGCAACGAGCGCAACCCUUAUCCUUUGUUGCCAGCGGUUCGGCCGGGAACUCAAAGGAGACUGCCAGUGAUAAACUGGAGGAAGGUGGGGAUGACGUCAAGUCAUCAUGGCCCUUACGAGUAGGGCUACACACGUGCUACAAUGGCAUAUACAAAGAGAAGCGACCUCGCGAGAGCAAGCGGACCUCAUAAAGUAUGUCGUAGUCCGGAUUGGAGUCUGCAACUCGACUCCAUGAAGUCGGAAUCGCUAGUAAUCGUGGAUCAGAAUGCCACGGUGAAUACGUUCCCGGGCCUUGUACACACCGCCCGUCACACCAUGGGAGUGGGUUGCAAAAGACGUAGGUAGCUUAACCUUCGGGAGGGCGCUUACCACUUUGUGAUUCAUGACUGGGGUGAAGUCGUAACAAGGUAACC